rnacentral:rRNA from 1 species
AUGAACGCUAGCGACAGGCUUAACACAUGCAAGUCGAGGGGCAGCACAGGUAGCAAUACCGGGUGGCGACCGGCGCACGGGUGAGUAACGCGUAUGCAACUUGCCUAUCAGAGGGGGAUAACCCGGCGAAAGUCGGACUAAUACCGCAUGAAGCAGGGGCCCCGCAUGGGGAUAUUUGCUAAAGAUUCAUCGCUGAUAGAUAGGCAUGCGUUCCAUUAGGCAGUUGGCGGGGUAACGGCCCACCAAACCGACGAUGGAUAGGGGUUCUGAGAGGAAGGUCCCCCACAUUGGUACUGAGACACGGACCAAACUCCUACGGGAGGCAGCAGUGAGGAAUAUUGGUCAAUGGGCGUAAGCCUGAACCAGCCAAGUCGCGUGAGGGAUGAAGGUUCUAUGGAUCGUAAACCUCUUUUAUAAGGGAAUAAAGUGCGGGACGUGUCCCGUUUUGUAUGUACCUUAUGAAUAAGGAUCGGCUAACUCCGUGCCAGCAGCCGCGGUAAUACGGAGGAUCCGAGCGUUAUCCGGAUUUAUUGGGUUUAAAGGGUGCGUAGGCGGCCUUUUAAGUCAGCGGUGAAAGUCUGUGGCUCAACCAUAGAAUUGCCGUUGAAACUGGGAGGCUUGAGUAUGUUUGAGGCAGGCGGAAUGCGUGGUGUAGCGGUGAAAUGCUUAGAUAUCACGCAGAACCCCGAUUGCGAAGGCAGCCUGCCAAGCCAUUACUGACGCUGAUGCACGAAAGCGUGGGGAUCAAACAGGAUUAGAUACCCUGGUAGUCCACGCAGUAAACGAUGAUCACUAGCUGUUUGCGAUACACUGUAAGCGGCACAGCGAAAGCGUUAAGUGAUCCACCUGGGGAGUACGCCGGCAACGGUGAAACUCAAAGGAAUUGACGGGGGCCCGCACAAGCGGAGGAACAUGUGGUUUAAUUCGAUGAUACGCGAGGAACCUUACCCGGGUUUGAACGCAUUUUGACGGCUCUGGAAACAGAGCCUCUAGCAAUAGCGAUUUGCGAGGUGCUGCAUGGUUGUCGUCAGCUCGUGCCGUGAGGUGUCGGCUUAAGUGCCAUAACGAGCGCAACCCUUGCCACUAGUUACUAACAGGUAAAGCUGAGGACUCUGGUGGGACUGCCAGCGUAAGCUGCGAGGAAGGCGGGGAUGACGUCAAAUCAGCACGGCCCUUACAUCCGGGGCGACACACGUGUUACAAUGGCGUGGACAAAGGGAGGCCACCUGGCGACAGGGAGCGAAUCCCCAAACCACGUCUCAGUUCGGAUCGGAGUCUGCAACCCGACUCCGUGAAGCUGGAUUCGCUAGUAAUCGCGCAUCAGCCAUGGCGCGGUGAAUACGUUCCCGGGCCUUGUACACACCGCCCGUCAAGCCAUGGGAGCCGGGGGUACCUGAAGUCCGUAACCGAAAGGAUCGGCCUAGGGUAAAACUGGUGACUGGGGCU